CAGGUUGCUAUCACCAGCACACUCUCACUUGAGUAUAUGGGGAUCCAGAUCCAGUCUCUUGGCAGGGCAGACAUACAAAACCACUUUACAUCUGCAUUCAUUAAGAUAAAUGGCACAGUGUUCCUGUUCAUCAGCAUUGGGAUAUUCUUCGUGGUGCUGGAUGCAUGCUCAGGAGCAGUCUUUGACACAGUUACCAGUGAAAACUGCCCCUGCAAUAACUGAGUAUGUUCAAACAUCCAUAAAUGAGAGGUACAACUCACUGGGGGCUGAAAGGACAUCUGUGAGGACCAAAGGCAGACUGAAGACUGACUGAAAAUCAGAGCUAGGAUGUGGAUGGCUUCAGGGUCUGAGCACUGCACAGCAAGUGAGUGUCCCUCUCCCAUAAGGGAGAAAUGCACUCACAGUCAUUUGGGCUUGUUUUGAUUCCAUGUGAAGCACAGGUUUAAUCUAGGACCGUUUCUUGGAAAAGCUUACAUGGGAUUGAAAUUAAGGGGAUUUAGAUGUUCUUAAAGUCAAGCAUGCUCCUACAUACUUUUCUGAAUUAGAGCUUAAAGGUCUUGAAGAUACUUAAUGAAGAAAUAUUUUGCAAUCAUGCAGUAAUUACUGUUCUUCUUUUCAGAUCACUUGUCCUCGUGUGCUCUAGAAAUAUCACAGACAUGCUGGGCAGCUCUGAAAUGUCUGUUUUUCUCAGGUUUGGUUCAGCAAAGCCUAUUAUCUUCCACAAGGGAGAUAAAUCUAUUUAUUCUAUCAUGUUUAUUUGUAUUUUUAUUGCUUUUCAUGUUUCUUUGGCUUUUAAUUAGGUUGGAAAACACAGCAGAAUCACUGGUGUGUGUCCCAUCCAAAAAUAUACAUGCAGUUACAGAGUGCUUAUCAAGAUAUUUCCCACCACAAUAUGCCAGUGUAACCCAGUGAAAAUCUCUUGGCUUAGGGAUGGUGAGAAAUAGGAGAGCUAUUUCAGGAUUUUGACUCCACUUUUGCCAGUGAGAAGUUCCAUGCUGCAAUUUUUUCAUCCUAAAGGGAGCUUUUCUUUUCCUAACAAAAUAAGGAAAAAAAAAAAGGAGAAUCAUUUGGUAAAGAUUCCACCUCUAAAGUUCCACUGCUUUGUAAGGAAAAACAAUCAUAACCUUAAAAGCUGAUGAAAAAGAAAACAAUUUGCAGUGAAAUAAGAGGUAUUUAUUGUUUUGGAUAGAAGGAUGGUGAAAUCAACAGUUUGGGAGAGUCCUUAUUACAAUUUUGCCUUGCAUUGCUGCAAGAAAUCCACUGGUAUCAUUGGUCCAGAAAAUCCAUGCUGGGUUUCCUACCAGAAAACCAGAGGAUAUUGAGUCCAGGCUUGGAUGAAUAAUGUGAGUGAUAAAGAAAUUAAGAAAACAGCCACCUAACUUGAUGCAGAUUUCAGGCCCUCACACAGAGUUCAGAUGGAAAAUUGACUGUAUUUCCAUAUUUUUUGGGAUGGAGGAGUGGGAGCGGGUUACAGGGGGUUGGGGACUUUUUCCCCACUGCUUUAUUGAAAUGCAUAUCAAUUUCUGGUUGAAGUUUCAAAGCUCAUUGCUAUGACCAUUGCAGGGGAAGACAACACAUUCUUUACAGCAGAGGCAGUGAUUUCAUUUCAGUGCAUGUUUGAUUCUUGAGAAGAUAUUUCUUCUUUCAUCCUUUGAAAAGCAAAAGUUUGAGGUUUUCUUUUCUGUUUUUGUCCUUAAACUUUAUUGUUUCAUUCUUACAUCAAAGCCCUGAAUACUUUUGAAAGGAAUUUUUUGAUUAAAAAGGAAUCUUUUUUUGUUUGUUUUGCCAAACUUUGUUCCCUGAACCACCUGUGCCAUCCUCUUUGUGAGCCUGGCUCAGCCUCCUGCCUCGACUGCUCCAGGGGCACAAAGAGCAGCAGGCAGGGAGGGCCAGCAGCAUCCUGGGGACGCUCUGGGGGUCUUGUCCUGGCCCUGCCACAUCGGUGGGAUGCUGGUGGCUGGCAGUGGGACUGAGCUGCUGCUGGCUGAUCACAAGCUGCCCCUGUUUUGCCUUUCCUAAGGGCAAGGGUGUUCACCCAUGUGCCUGCCCUGAUUUCCAGUCUGGGUAAUUAUGCUCUGCUCCAUGAGCUUCCUCCUGCUGGUUCAGGUAUUUGGGCUAUUUGACUUCACAGCUCCAGGACUGCUCCGUGCUGGGGGGCAGCGUUUCAGGGCGGGCUGCAGCAUUUCUCCCAAGCACACAUUGCUUCUGCCAGGGAUAAUGCAAAAUAACCCAAAUCCUCUUGACCCCAGCGGGAUCAGGAUUUAGGGUCUUGUUUCCUGGUUUUUGCAAAACCUUAUUUAAAUUAAAAGUGUUUACAGGAAUAGUCUCGAUCCAGCCAGCUGCAAAUAGCCUUGGGAGACUUUGCAAUGAAAAGCAUAAUAUAAACACAAGACAUUAUUAUUAAAAUGGAAGAAUAUAUAAUGCCUUUGUACUUUGGGACAGCAGAGGACCAGAGCAGAGUUGACAGGAGGGAUAGUUAAGGCAUAACAGGAUGACACAGAUGUAAACUAUUAAAAGAAGGAUUCAAAGUGCCUAUCCAUUUUCAGGUUGUCAAAUAAGAGAAAGUACCAGUAUUAUGUAAAAAUAAAGAAUAAAAUUAUAUUCCUGCUGAUAUCUGG
rnacentral:lncRNA from 1 species